rnacentral:lncRNA from 1 species
AAAAAAAAAAUGAAAAAUUAAAAAACAAUAUUUGGGGUGUUUAGGCUUCCUGAAGGUAAUACCAGGGUAUUAGAUUUUAAGGCUAGGGUAAGGUUUAAGGUUUUUGGCGUUAGGCCUAAAAUCAGUGUCCAAAACCUUUGUAGGAACUCUUUUCCAACCUUUUGGAGUUAGUGAGACAAAAAAUUUGAAAAAAGAAAAAAAUAUUAUUGGGGGUGUUCGGGCUCCCUGAAGGUAAUACCCGGGUAUUAGGUUUUGGGACUAGGGUAAGGUUUAAGGUUUUUGGCGUUAGGGUUAAAAUCACUGUCCAAAACCUUUGUAGGAACUCUUUUCCAACCUUUUGGAGUUAGUUAGACCAAAAAAAAAAAGAAAAAUGAAAAAAAAAUAUUUGGGGUGAUCAGGCUUCCUUAUUGUAAUACCCGGGUAUUAGAUUUUAAUGCCAGGGUUAGGUUUAAGUUUUUUGGCGUUAGGGUUAAAAUCACUGUCCAAAACCUUUGUAGGAACUCUUUUCCAACCUUUUGGAGUUAGUUAGACCAAAAAAAAAUGUAAAAUGAAAAAAAAAUAUUUGGGGUGUUCAGGCUUCCUAAAAGUAAUACCCGGGUAUUAGGUUAUGGGGCUAUGGUAAGGUUUAAGGUUUUUGGCGUUAGGGUUAAAAUCACUGUCCAAAACCUUUGUAGGAACUCUUUUCCAACCUUUUGGAGUUAGUUAGACCAAAAAAAAUGUAAAAUGAAAAAAAAAUAUUUGGGGUGUUCAGGCUUCCUGAAAGUAAUACCCGGGUAUUAGAUUUUAAGGCCAGGGUAAGGUUUAAGUUUUUUGGCGUUAGGGUUAAAAUCACUGUCCAAAACCUUUGUAGGAACUCUUUUCCAACCUUUUGGAGUUAGUUAGACCAAAAAAAAAAAGAAAAAUGAAAAAAAAAUAUUUGGGGUGUUCAGGCUUCCUAAAAGUAAUACCCGGGUAUUAGGUUAUGGGGCUAUGGUAAGGUUUAAGUUUUUUGGCGUUAGGGUUAAAAUCACUGUCCAAAACCUUUGUAGGAACUCUUUUCCAACCUUUUGGAGUUAGUUAGACCAAAAAAAAAUGAAAAAUGAAAAAAAAAUAUUUGGGGUGUUCAGGCUUCCUGAAAGUAAUACCUGGGUAUUAGGUUUUGGGCUAGGGUAAGGUUUAAGGUUUUUGGCGUUAGGGUUAAAAUCACUGUCCAAAACCUUUGUAGGAACUCUUUUCCAACCUUUUGGAGUUAGUUAGACCAAAAAAAAAAAGAAAAAUGAAAAAAAAAAUAUUUGGGGUGUUCAGGCUUCCUGAAAGUAAUACCCGGGUAUUAGGUUUUGGGGCUAUGGUAAGGUUUAAGGUUUUUGGCGUUAGGGUUAAAAUCACUGUCCAAAACCUUUGUAGGAACUCUUUUCCAACCUUUUGGAGUUAGUUAGACCAAAAAAAAAUGAAAAAUUAAAAAACAAUAUUUGGGGUUUUCGGGGUUCCUGAAUGUAAUACCCGGGUAUUAGAUUUUGAGGCUAGGGUAAGGUUUAAGGUUUUUGGCGUUAGGGUUAAAAUCACUGUCCAAAACCUUUGUAGGAACUCUUUUCCAACCUUUUGGAGUUGGUUAGACCAAAAAAAAAUGUAAAAUGAAAAAAAAAUAUUUGGGGUGUUCGGGCUUCCUGAAGGUAAUACCCGGGUAUUAGGUUUUGGGACUAGGGAAAGGUUUAAGGUUUUUGGCGUUAGGGUUAAAAUCACUGUCCAAAACCUUUGUAGGAACUCUUUUCCAACCUUUUGGAGUUAGUUAGACCAAAAAAAAAAAAGAAAAAUGAAAAAAAAAUAUUUGGGGUGUUCAGGCUUCCUAAAAGUAAUACCCGGGUAUUAGGUUAUGGGGUUAGGGUAAGGUUUAAGGUUUUUGGCGUUAGGGUUGAAAUCACUGUCCAAAACCUUUGUAGGAACUCUUUUCCAACCUUUUGGAGUUAGUUAGACCAAAAAAAAAAGAAAAAUGAAAAAAAAAUAUUUGGGGUGUUCAGGCUUCCUAAAAGUAAUAUCCGGGUAUUAGGUUAUGGGGCUAUGGGAAGGUUUAAGGUUUUUGGCGUUAGGGUUAAAAUCACUGUCCAAAACCUUUGUAGGAACUCUUUUCCAACCUUUUGGAGUUAGUUAGACCAAAAAAAUAUGAAAAAAGAAAAAAAUAUUAUUGGGGGUUUUCGGGCUCCCUGAAAGUAAUACCCGGGUAUUAGGUUUUGGGGCUAUGGUAAGGUUUAAGUUUUUUGGCGUUAGGGUUAAAAUCACUGUCCAAAACCUUUGUAGGAACUCUUUUCCAACCUUUUGGAGUUAGUUAGACCAAAAAAAAAUGAAAAAUGAAAAAACAAUAUUUGGGGUAUUUGGGGUUCCUGAAUGUUAUACCCGGGUAUUAGAUUUUAAGGCUAGGGUAAGGUUUAAGUUUUUUGGCGUUAGGGUUAAAAUCACUGUCCAAAACCUUUGUAGGAACUCUUUUCCAACCUUUUGGAGUUGGUUACACCAACAAAAAUGUAAAAUGAAAAAAAAAAUAUUUGGGGUGUUCAGGCUUCCUGAAGGUAAUACCCGGGUAUUAGAUUUUAAGGCUAGGGUAAGGUUUAAGGUUUUUGGCGUUAGGGUUAAAAUCACUGUCCAAAACCUUUGUAGGAACUCUUUUCCAACCUUUUGGAGUUAGUGAGACAAAAAAUUUGAAAAAAGAAAAAAAUAUUAUUGGGGGUGUUCGGGCUCCCUGAAGGUAAUACCCGGGUAUUAGGUUUUGGGACUAGGGAAAGGUUUAAGGUUUUUGGCGUUAGGGUUAAAAUCACUGUCCAAAACCUUUGUAGGAACUCUUUUCCAACCUUUUGGAGUUAGUUAGACCAAAAAAAAAUGAAAAAUUAAAAAACAAUAUUUGGGGUUUUCGGGGUUCCUGAAUGUAAUACCCGGGUAUUAGGUUUUGGGACUAGGGUAAGGUUUAAGGUUUUUGGCGUUAGGGUUAAAAUCACUGUCCAAAACCUUUGUAGGAACUCUUUUCCAACCUUUUGGAGUUAGUUAGACCAAAAAAAAUGUAAAAUGAAGAAAAAAAUAUUUGGGGUGUUCAGGCUUCCUGAAGUAAUACCCGGGUAUUAGGUUUUGGGACUAGGGAAAGGUUUAAGGUUUUUGGCGUUAGGGUUAAAAUCACUGUCCAAAACCUUUGUAGGAACUCUUUUCCAACCUUUUGGAGUUAGUUAGACCAAAAAAAAAAAAAGAAAAAUGAAAAAAAAAUAUUUGGGGUGUUCAGGCUUCCUAAAAGUAAUACCCGGGUAUUAGGUUAUGGGGUUAGGGUAAGGUUUAAGGUUUUUGGCGUUAGGGUUAAAAUCACUGUCCAAAACCUUUGUAGGAACUCUUUUCCAACCUUUUGGAGUUAGUUAGACCAAAAAAAAAGAAAAAUGAAAAAAAAAUAUUUGGGGUGUUCAGGCUUCCUAAAAGUAAUACCCGGGUAUUAGGUUAUGGGGCUAUGGGAAGGUUUAAGGUUUUUGGCGUUAGGGUUAAAAUCACUGUCCAAAACCUUUGUAGGAACUCUUUUCCAACCUUUUGGAGUUAGUUAGACCAAAAAAAUAUGAAAAAAGAAAAAAAUAUUAUUGGGGGUUUUCGGGCUCCCUGAAAGUAAUACCCGGGUAUUAGGUUUUGGGGCUAUGGUAAGGUUUAAGUUUUUUGGCGUUAGGGUUAAAAUCACUGUCCAAAACCUUUGUAGGAACUCUUUUCCAACCUUUUGGAGUUAGUUAGACCAAAAAAAAAUGAAAAAUGAAAAAACAAUAUUUGGGGUAUUUGGGGUUCCUGAAUGUUAUACCCGGGUAUUAGGUUUUGGGGCUAGGGUAAGGUUUAAGGUUUUUGGCGUUAGGGUUAAAAUCACUGUCCAAAACCUUUGUAGGAACUCUUUUCCAACCUUUUGGAGUUGGUUACACCAACAAAAAUGUAAAAUGAAAAAAAAAAUAUUUGGGGUGUUCAGGCUUCCUGAAGGUAAUACCCGGGUAUUAGAUUUUAAGGCUAGGGUAAGGUUUAAGGUUUUUGGCGUUAGGGUUAAAAUCACUGUCCAAAACCUUUGUAGGAACUCUUUUCCAACCUUUUGGAGUUAGUUAGACAAAAAAAAAAAAAAAGAAAAAAAUAUUUGGGGUGUUCAGGCUUCCUGAAGGUAAUACCCGGGUAUUAGGUUUUGGGACUAGGGAAAGGUUUAAGGUUUUUGGCGUUAGGGUUAAAAUCACUGUCCAAAUCCUUUGUAGGAACUCUUUUCCAACCUUUUGGAGUUAGUUAGACAAAAAAAAAAGAAUAAUGAAAAAAAAAUAUUUGGGGUGAUCAGGCUUCCUUAUUGUAAUACCCGGGUAUUAGAUUUUAAUGCCAGGGUUAGGUUUAAGUUUUUUGGCGUUAGGGUUAAAAUCACUGUCCAAAACCUUUGUAGGAACUCUUUUCCAACCUUUUGGAGUUAGUUAGACCAAAAAAAAAUGAAAAAUUAAAAAACAAUAUUUGGGGUUUUCGGGGUUCCUGAAUGUAAUACCCGGGUAUUAGAUUUUAAGGCUAGGGUAAGGUUUAAGGUUUUUGGCGUUAGGGUUAAAAUCACUGUCCAAAACCUUUGUAGGAACUCUUUUCCAACCUUUUGGAGUUGGUUACACCAACAAAAAUAUAAAAUGAAGAAAAAAAUAUUUGGGGUGUUCAGGCUUCCUGAAGGUAAUACCCGGGUAUUAGAUUUUAAGGCUAGGGUAAGGUUUAAGGUUUUUGGCGUUAGGGUUAAAAUCACUGUCCAAAACCUUUGUAGGAACUCUUUUCCAACCUUUUGGAGUUGGUUACACCAACAAAAAUGUAAAAUGAAAAAAAAAUAUUUGGGGUGUUCGGGCUUCCUGAAGGUAAUACCCGGGUAUUAGGUUAUGGGGCUAGGGUAAGGUUUAAGGUUUUUGGCGUUAGGGUUAAAAUCACAUUCCAAAACCUUUGUAGGAACUCUUUUCCAACCUUUUGGAGUUAGUUACACCAACAAAAAUGUAAAAUAAAGAAAAAAAUAUUUUGGGUGUUCGGGCUUCCUGAAGGUAAUACCCGGUAUUAGAUUUUUAGGCUACGGUAAGGUUUAAGGUUUUUGGCGUUAGGGUUAAAAUCACUGUCCAAAACCUUUGUAGGAACUCUUUUCCAACCUUUUGGAGUUAGUUAGACCAAAAAAAAUGAAAAAAGAAAAAAAAAAAAUUUGGGGUUUUCGGGCUUCCUGAAAGUAAUACCCGGGUAUUAGGUUAUUGGGCUAGGGUAAGGUUUAAGGUUUUUGGCGUUAGGGUUAAAAUCACUGUCCAAAACCUUUGUAGGAACUCUUUUCCAACCUUUUGGAGUUGGUUACACCAACAAAAAUGUAAAAUUAAGAAAAAAAUAUUUGGGGUGUUCAGGCUUCCUGAAGGUAAUACCCGGGUAUUAGAUUUUAAGGCUAGGGUAAGGUUUAAGGUUUUUGGCGUUAGGGUUAAAAUCACUGUCCAAAACCUUUGUAGGAACUCUUAUCCAACCUUUUGGAGUUGGUUACACCAACAAAAAUGUAAAAUGAAGAAAAAAAUAUUUGGGGUGUUCAGGCUUCCUGAAGGUAAUACCCGGGUAUUAGAUUUUGGGGCUAGGGUAAGGUUUAAGGUUUUUGGCGUUAGGGUUAAAAUCACUGUCCAAAACCUUUGUAGGAACUCUUUUCCAACCUUUUGGAGUUAGUUAGACCAAAAAAUAUGAAAAAAGAAAAAAAUAUUUUUGGGGGUUUUCGGGCUCCCUGAAAGUAAUACCCAGGUAUUAGGUUUUGGGACUAGGGAGAGGUUUAAGGUUUUUGGCGUUAGGGUUAAAAUCACUGUCCAAAACCUUUGUAGGAACUCUUUUCCAACCUUUUGGAGUUAGUUAGACCAAAAAAAAAAAGAAAAAUGAAAAAAAAAUAUUUGGGGUGUUCAGGCUUCCUAAAAGUAAUACCCGGGUAUUAGGUUAUGGGGCUAGGGUAAGGUUUAAGGUUUUUGGCGUUAGGGUUAAAAUCACUGUCCAAAACCUUUGUAGGAACUCUUUUCCAACCUUUUGGAGUUAGUUAGACCAAAAAAAUGUAAAAUGAAGAAAAAAAUAUUUGGGGUGUUCAGGCUUCCUGAAGGUAAUACCCGGGUAUUAGAUUUCAAGGCUAGGGUAAGGUUUAAGGUUUUUGGCGUUAGGGUUAAAAUCACUGUCCAAAACCUUUGUAGGAACUCUUUUCCAACCUUUUGGAGUUAGUUAGACCAAAAAAUAUGAAAAAAGAAAAAAAGUAUUUGUGGGGGUUUUCGGGCUCCCUGAAAGUAAAACCCAGGUAGUAGGUUUUGGGACUAGGGUAAGGUUUAAGGUUUUUGGCGUUAGGGUUAAAAUCACUGUCCAAAACCUUUGUAGGAACUCUUUUCCAACCUUUUGGAGUUAGUUAGACCAAAAAAAAAGAAAAAUGAAAAAAAUAUUAUUGGGGGUUUUCGGGGUUCCUGAAUGUAAUACCCGGGUAUUAGAUUUUAAGGCUAGGGUAAGGUUUAAGGUUUUUGGCGUUAGGGUUAAAAUCACUGUCCAAAACCUUUGUAGGAACUCUUUUUCAACCUUUUGGAGUUAGUUAGACCAAAAAAAAAAUGAAAAAUGAAAAAAAAAAUAUUUGGGGUUUACGGGCUUCCUGAAUGUAAUACCCGGGUAUUAGGUUUUGGGGCUAUGGUAAGGUUUAAGUUUUUUGGCGUUAGGGUUAAAAUCACUGUCCAAAACCUUUGUAGGAACUCUUUUCCAACCUUUUGGAGUUAGUUAGACCAAAAAAUAUGAAAAUAGAAAAAAAUAUUUUUGGGGGUUUUCGGGCUUCCUGAAAGUAAUACCCGGGUAUUAGGUUUUGGGGCUAUGGUAAGGUUUAAGUUUUUUGGCGUUAGGGUUAAAAUCACUGUCCAAAACCUUUGUAGGAACUCUUUUCCAACCUUUUGGAGUUAGUUAGACCAAAAAAUAUGAAAAAAGAAAAAAAUAUUAUUGGGGGUUUUCGGGCUCCCUGAAAGUAAUACCCGGGUAUUAGGUUUUGGGGCUAUGGUAAGGUUUAAGGUUUUUGGCGUUAGGGUUAAAAUCACUGUCCAAAACCUUUGUAGGAACUCUUUUCCAACCUUUUGGAGUUGGUUACACCAACAAAAAUGUAAAAUGAAGAAAAAAAUAUUUGGGGUGUUCAGGCUUCCUGAAUGUAAUACCCGGGUAUUAGAUUUUAAGGCUAGGGUAAGGUUUAAGGUUUUUGGCGUUAGGGUUAAAAUCACUGUCCAAAACCUUUGUAGGAACUCUUUUCCAACCUUUUGGAGUUAGUUUGACCAAAAAAAAAGAAAAAUGAAAAAAAAAUAUUUGGGGAGUUCAGGCUUCCUAAAAGUAAUACCCGGGUAUUAGGUUUUGUGGCUAGGGUAAGGUUUAAGUUUUUUGGCAUAAGGGUUAAAAUCACUGUCCAAAACCUUUGUAGGAACUCUUUUCCAACCUUUUGGAGUUAGUUAGACCAAAAAAAUGAAAAAAGAAAAAAAGAUUUUGGGGUUUUCGGGCUUCCUGAAAGUAAUACCCGGGUAUUAGGUUUUGGGACUAGGGAGAGGUUUAAGGUUUUUGGCAUUAGGGUUAAAAUCACUGUCCAAAACCUUUGUAGGAACUCUUUUCCAAC